rnacentral:rRNA from 1 species
AAGCGUGAAGCCCCCCUCAAGAUGAGAUAUCCCAUUCUUAUGAAGUAAACCCCCUUGAAGACGACGAGGUAGAUAGGGCAGAGGUGGAAGUGUGGCAACACAUGGAGCUGACUGUUACUAAUCGGGUGAGGGCUUGACCAA